AACGGCCGUACCAUGCUGAAUAUACCGGUUCUCGUUAGAUCACCGAAGUUAAGCAUCAUUGGGCGCGGUCAGUACUUGGGUGGGUGCCCACCUGGGAACACUGCGUGCCGUU
rnacentral:rRNA from 1 species